rnacentral:ncRNA from 1 species
GGAACUUCCCCCGGGGUUGGAAAGGGGGGAAAGGGGGGAAUCCGGGGUUUGGUUUCCGGGGGGGGGGCCCGGAAAAACGGGUUCCCACCAUUUAGGAAAGGAAGCAGGGGGGGAAAAUUUACCCAUUCCCGGCUUGGGGAGGUAGGAAAGAAAAAAACCAUACAGGGACUCAUUUCGGGGGCCCUGUAAUGGAAAGGGUACACUUUAAAUCCUUUAACAAGGACCUAUUGGAGGGCAAGUCUGGUGCCAGCAGCCGCGGUAUUCCAGCUCCAAUGGCGUAUAUUAAAGUUGUUGCGGUUAAAACGUUUGUAGUUGAACUUGUGCUUCAUACGGGUAGUACAACUUACAAUUGUAGUUAGUACUAUACCUUUAUGUAUGUAAGCGUAUUACCGGUGGAGUUCUUAUAUUUAAUUAAAUACUUGUAUUUUUUUAUAUAUUCCUCCUAUUUAAAAACCUGCAUUAGUGCUCUUCAUCGAGUGUUAUUGUGGGCCGGUACAAUUACUUUGAACAAAUUAGAGUGCUUAAAGCAGGCUUCAAAUGCCUGAAUAUUCUGUGCAUGGGAUAAUGAAAUAACACCUCUGUUCUGCUUUCAUUGGUUUUCAGAUCAAGAGGUAAUGAUUAAUAGAAGCAGUUUGGGGGCAUUACUAUUACGACGCGAGAGGUGAAAUUCUUGGACCGUCCUAAGACUAACUUAAGCGAAAGCAUUUGCCAAAAAUGUUUUCAUUAAUCAGGAACGAAAGUUAGAGGUUCGAAGGCGAUCAAAUACCGCCCUAGUUCUAUCCAUAAACGAUGCCAGCUAGCAAUUGGGUGUAACUACUUUUAUGGCUCUCUCAAUCGCUUCCCGGGAAACCAAAGCCUUUGGGCUCCGGGAGAAGUCUGGAUGCUUAUCUGAAACUUAAUGGAAUCGACGGAAGGUCAC